AUGCCUAGGAAAUUGCCCUGAUGUGGGGGAUAACCAUUGGAAACGAUGGCUAAUACCGCAUGAUGCCUACGGGCCAAAGAGGGGGACCUUCGGGCCUCUCGCGUCAGGAUAUGCCUAGGUGGGAUUAGCUAGUUGGUGAGGUAAGGGCUCACCAAGGCGACGAUCCCUAGCUGGUCUGAGAGGAUGAUCAGCCACACUGGAACUGAGACACGGUCCAGACUCCUACGGGAGGCAGCAGUGGGGAAUAUUGCACAAUGGGCGCAAGCCUGAUGCAGCCAUGCCGCGUGUGUGAAGAAGGCCUUCGGGUUGUAAAGCACUUUCAGUCGUGAGGAAGGUAGUGUAGUUAAUAGCUGCAUUAUUUGACGUUAGCGACAGAAGAAGCACCGGCUAACUCCGUGCCAGCAGCCGCGGUAAUACGGAGGGUGCGAGCGUUAAUCGGAAUUACUGGGCGUAAAGCGCAUGCAGGUGGUUUGUUAAGUCAGAUGUGAAAGCCCGGGGCUCAACCUCGGAAUAGCAUUUGAAACUGGCAGACUAGAGUACUGUAGAGGGGGGUAGAAUUUCAGGUGUAGCGGUGAAAUGCGUAGAGAUCUGAAGGAAUACCGGUGGCGAAGGCGGCCCCCUGGACAGAUACUGACACUCAGAUGCGAAAGCGUGGGGAGCAGACACGAUUAGAUACCCUGGUAGUCCACGCCGUAAACGAUGUCUACUUGGAGGUUGUGGGCUUGAGCCGUGGCUUUCUUAGCUAACGCGUUAAGUAUACCGCCUGGGGAGUACAGUCGCGCCAUUAAAACUCAACUGAAUUGAC
rnacentral:rRNA from 1 species